CCUACGGGAGGCAGCAGUGAGGAAUAUUGGUCAAUGGACGAGAGUCUGAACCAGCCAAGUAGCGUGAAGGAUGACUGCCCUAUGGGUUGUAAACUUCUUUUAUAAAGGAAUAAAACGAGGCACGUGUGCCUUUUUGCAUGUACUUUAUGAAUAAGGAUCGGCUAACUCCGUGCCAGCAGCCGCGGUAAUACGGAGGAUCCGAGCGUUAUCCGGAUUUAUUGGGUUUAAAGGGAGCGUAGAUGGGCUGUUAAGUCAGUUGUGAAAGUUUGCGGCUCAACCGUAAAAUUGCAAUUGAUACUGGCAGUCUUGAGUACAGUUGAGGUAGGCGGAAUUCGUGGUGUAGCGGUGAAAUGCUUAGAUAUCACGAAGAACCCCGAUUGCGAAGGCAGCUUACUAAACUGUGACUGACAUUGAUGCUCGAAAGCGUGGGUAGCAAACAGGAUUAGAUACCCCUGUAGUC
rnacentral:rRNA from 1 species